rnacentral:rRNA from 1 species
GAUGAACGCUGGCGGCGUGCUUAACACAUGCAAGUCGAACGAAGCUGCUUAAAGGAAGUCUUCGGAUGGAAUUUAGGUAGACUUAGUGGCGGACGGGUGAGUAACGCGUGGAUAACCUGCCUUAUACAGGGGGAUAACGGAGAGAAAUUUCCGCUAAGACCGCAUAAGACCACAGCACCGCAUGGUGCAGGGGUAAAAUAUUUAUAGGUAUAAGAUGGAUCCCGCGUCCGAUUAGCUAGUUGGUGAGGUAAAGGCCCACCAAGGCGACGAUCGGUAGCCGGCCUGAGAGGGUGAACGGCCACAUUGGGACUGAGACACGGCCCAAACUCCUACGGGAGGCAGCAGUGGGGAAUAUUGGACAAUGGGGGAAACCCUGAUCCAGCGACGCCGCGUGAGUGAAGAAGUAUUUCGGUAUGUAAAGCUCUAUCAGCAGGGAAGAAAAUGACGGUACCUGACUAAGAAGCCCCGGCUAACUACGUGCCAGCAGCCGCGGUAAUACGUAGGGGGCAAGCGUUAUCCGGAUUUACUGGGUGUAAAGGGAGCGCAGACGGCAAUGCAAGUCUGAAGUGAAAGGCGUGGGCUCAACCCAUGAACUGCUUUGGAAACUGUAUAGCUUGAGUGUCGGAGGGGUAAGCGGAAUUCCUAGUGUAGCGGUGAAAUGCGUAGAUAUUAGGAGGAACACCGGAGGCGAAGGCGGCUUACUGGACGACCAACUGACGUUGAGGCUCGAAGGCGUGGGGAGCAAACAGG